rnacentral:lncRNA from 1 species
GCAGAGGCGCGGAAGGAGUCAUGGGGCGCGUACGCCAGGGAAGAAUACAAGGUGUGGAUUAAUGAGUACGAUCACUCCAAGCCCAUCCAGGGGCAGCAGAAGAAGCCCUUUGAGGAGCACUGGAGGAAGCACACCCUGUCCUAUGUGGACGUCAGCACUGGGAAGGUCACCCUGGAAUAUAGACCCGUAAUUGACAAAACUUUGAAUGAGGCUGACUGUGCCGCCAUCCCCCCAGCCAUUCACUCCUGCUGAUGAGACAAGAUGCGGUGAUGACAGAAUCAGCUUUUAGUCUUGCCAUGCUGUCCAGGCUGGAGUGCAGUGGUGUGAUCUCGGCUCACUGCAACCUCCACCUCCCGGGCUCCAGCAAUCCUCCCACCUCAGCCUCCCUAGGAGCUGAGACUACAGUGCACAGCCAGAGAACAACACAUCACACACAGGAAACAGUUGUGCUCAUGUGAUGGGGGCCUCAGCACUAGGAAGGAGUGGACUAUUGGCGCAUGUAGCAGCUUGAAUAAAUCUGAAAGUCACUACACUGCGUAAGAGAAGCCAAAUAAAAAAGUUCAUGCUGUGUACAGAGGGUGUUGAGAAUGCCUCCUACGUGACGGAAAGCAGAUCCGUGGUUCCCUGCAGACCGGCAGGAGCAGAUUCCAAAGGCACAGGAAGAAGCUUGCAGUACAAAGAUAAAAAUCUAAAGUGGUUGCUGUGGAGGACAGGGGUCAGUGGUGGAAGUGAGACUGAAAUGGACUCUGAAGUAAUAUCUGGACUUUGAAAUUGCAGCUGCUCCCAACCCCAGCAACUUUGCUAUCUUAGAACGGAUCACCAGUGAAAGAGGGGAAGUUGCUACUGUGAUGAAUUCUGCCAUGUGGUACCAGACUGCUGCCCAGACCACAGUGUCCUCUGCAACCCUGGUAACUCACAUACAGGCCUGAUUCCACCUACAGCAAAGCUGGAUGCUAUGGUUGGCA